rnacentral:rRNA from 1 species
GACGAACCGAGCGAACGUUAUUCGGAAUCACUGGGCUUAAAGGGCGCGUAGGCGGGCGGCCAAGUCAGGGGUGAAAGCCCCCAGCUCAACUGGGGAAGUGCCUCUGAUACUGGUCAUCUUGAGGGAGGUAGGGGCGUGCGGAAUUCCCGGUGUAGCGGUGAAAUGCGCAGAUAUCGGGAAGAACACCCGUGGCGAAGGCGGCUCACUGGCCCGGUACUGACGCUGAGGUGCGAAAGCGUGGGGAGCAAACAGG